rnacentral:rRNA from 1 species
UGGGGAAUAUUGCACAAUGGGCGCAAGCCUGAUGCAGCAACGCUGCGUGAGGGACGACGGCCUUCGGGUUGUAAACCUCUUUUAGUAGGGAAGAAGCGAAAGUGACGGUACCUGCAGAAAAAGCACCGGCUAACUACGUGCCAGCAGCCGCGGUAAUACGUAGGGUGCGAGCGUUGUCCGGAAUUAUUGGGCGUAAAGAGCUCGUAGGCGGUCUGUCGCGUCUGCUGUGAAAACCCGAGGCUCAACCUCGGGCCUGCAGUGGGUACGGGCAGACUAGAGUGCGGUAGGGGAGAAUGGAAUUCCUGGUGUAGCGGUGGAAUGCGCAGAUAUCAGGAGGAACACCGAUGGCGAAGGCAGUUCUCUGGGCCGUAACUGACGCUGAGGAGCGAAAGCGUGGGGAGCGAACAGGAUUAGAUACCCUGGUAGUCCACGCCGUAAACGUUGGGCGCUAGAUGUGGGGACCAUUCCACGGUUUCCGUGUCGCAGCUAACGCAUUAAGCGCCCCGCCUGGGGAGUACGGCCGCAAGGCUAAAACUCAAAGGAAUUGACGGGGUCAUAGCUGUUCCU